rnacentral:rRNA from 1 species
GUACACGCUGUGACUAGCAUAUCAAUAAGCGGAGGAAAAGAAACUAACAAGGAUUCCCCUAGUAACGGCGAGUGAAGCGGGAAGAGCUCAAAUUUGAAAUCUUAAAGGGUUUCCCUUUACGAAUUGUAGUUUAAAGAAGUGUUUUCUGUUGAGGUUUUGGUAAAAGUUCUUUGGAAUAGGACAUCAUAGAGGGUGAGAAUCCCGUAUUUGACCUUUACUUUCAACUUUGUGAUACACUUUCAAAGAGUCGGAUUGUUUGGGGAUGCAGUCCAAAAUGGGUGGUAAAUUUCAUCUAAAGCUAAAUAUUGGCGAGAGACCGAUAGCGAACAAGUACCGUGAGGGAAAGAUGAAAAGAACUUUGAAAAGAGAGUUAAACAGUACGUGAAAUUGUCAAAAGGGAAGCGUUUGACACCAGUGUUGUUUUUCUGAAAAUCAAUUAAAGAACUGUUUAUGCUAAGCUGUUUAGACUUUAUCAGCUAAUCUGUUUAGUUUUGAGCUUUUCUUUAAUGCACUUUUCAGUUAACAAGUCAACAUCAAUUUCUUUUGCUGUAAAAAAGCUUGAGGAAGGUGGCUUGAGAUUCGUCUUAAGUGUUUAUAGCCUCUUGCCUAUGCAGUCGGAGAGAUUGAGGUCUGCAGCGUAGAUCCUUCGGGGCUAAAUGCAUUUGUGCUAAGUUAUAGCAUUUUAUAGACAACUUGUUGACUAUGAUUUGUCUUGUAGCUUACUCGCUUAUGUUAUUUUACCUACGCUUAGGAUGUUGAGUCGUAGAGCACGCAG